AGAGUUUGAUCAUGGCUCAGAAUGAACGUUGGCGGCGUGGAUUAGGCAUGCAAGUCGAGCGCGAACCGUAGCAAUACGGGGAGAGCGGCAAACGGGGUAGGAAGGAUUGGUGACGUACCCUUCGGGCGGGGAUAGCCACGGGAAACUGUGGGUAAUACCCGAUAACCUCCUGGGUUUGAAUGCUCAGGUGCAAAGGUGUGAUUCCACCGGAGGAGCGGCCAAUUUGACAUCAGCUAGUUGGUAAGGUAACGGCUUACCAAGGCUACGACGUCUAGGGGGUGUGAGAGCAUGGCCCCCACCACUGGGACUGAGAUACUGCCCAGACACCUACGGGUGGCUGCAGUCGGGAAUCUUCGGCAAUGGGCGAAAGCCUGACCGAGCGACGCCGCGUGCGGGAUGAAGGUCUUCGGAUUGUAAACCGCUGUCAGAGGGGAUGAAGUCAUAGGGGGUUCUCCCCUUAUGUGACAGAGCCUCAGAGAG
rnacentral:rRNA from 1 species